AACUCUCAACCCCCUUGUUUUGUAAUGAGACGAGCGUGGGCUUGGAUUAUGGCUGUCUGUCGGCGCUUUACUGCACCGGCUCGGCUGAAAUACAUGAGCGACCACAUUGAAUACCAGUGACGGUUUGACUCGGCGUAAUAAUAUUCUCGCUGAGGACGUCCAUUAAUUCAAAUAGGCGCUUCUAAUGCUCUAAACCUUUUAAGC
rnacentral:misc_RNA from 1 species